GAACGCUGGCGGCGUGCCUAAUACAUGCAACUUGAACACACUGACGUCGACAGAGGGUGCUUGCACUGGAAGUUGAUUGACGUGAGUGGCGGACGGGUGAGUAACUCGUGGGUAACCUGCCCUUAAGCGGGGGAUAACAUUUGGAAACAGAUGCUAAUACCGCAUAAAAGUUGAGAUCACAUGGUCUUAAUUUGAAAGACGGCCUUUGGCUGUCACUUAAGGAUGGACCCGCGGCGUAUUAGCUAGUUGGUGAGAUAAUAGCCCACCAAGGCGAUAAUACGUAGCCGACCUGAGAGGGUAAUCGGCCACAUUGGGACUGAGACACGGCCCAAACUCCUACGGGAGGCAGCAGUAGGGAAUCUUCCACAAUGGACGAAAGUCUGAUGGAGCAACGCCGCGUGAGUGAAGAAGGUUUUCGGAUCGUAAAACUCUGUUGUUGGAGAAGAACAGGGACUAGAGUAACUGUUAGUCCUUUGACGGUAUCCAACCAGAAAGCCACGGCUAACUACGUGCCAGCAGCCGCGGUAAUACGUAGGUGGCAAGCGUUGUCCGGAUUUAUUGGGCGUAAAGCGAGCGCAGGCGGUUUCUUAAGUCUGAUGUGAAAGCCUUCGGCUUAACCGAAGAAGUGCAUCAGAUACUGGGAAACUUGAGUGCAGAAGAGGGAAGUGGAACUCCAUGUGUAGCGGUGAAAUGCGUAGAUAUAUGGAAGAACACCAGUGGCGAAGGCGGCUUUCUGGUCUGUAACUGACGCUGAGGCUCGAAAGUAUGGGGAGCGAACAGGAUUAGAUACCCUGGUAGUCCAUACCGUAAACGAUGAAUGCUAAGUGUUGGAGGGUUUCCGCCCUUCAGUGCUGCAGCUAACGCAUUAAGCAUUCCGCCUGGGGAGUACGACCGCAAGGUUGAAACUCAAAGGAAUUGACGGGGGCCCGCACAAGCAGUGGAGCAUGUGGUUUAAUUCGAAGCUACGCGAAGAACCUUACCAGGUCUUGACAUCUAGCGCCAAUCCUAGAGAUAGGACGUUCCCUUCGGGGACGCUAAGACAGGUGGUGCAUGGUUGUCGUCAGCUCGUGUCGUGAGAUGUUGGGUUAAGUCCCGCAACGAGCGCAACCCUUAUGAUUAGUUGCCAGCAUUUAGGUGGGCACCCUAAUCAGACUGCCGGUGACAAAC
rnacentral:rRNA from 1 species